AACGCUAGCUACAGGCUUAACACAUGCAAGUCGAGGGGAAACGACAUCGAAAGCUUGCUUUUGAUGGGCGUCGACCGGCGCACGGGUGAGUAACGCGUAUCCAACCUGCCCACCACUUGGGGAUAACCUUGCGAAAGUAAGACUAAUACCCAAUGAUAUCUCUAGAAGACAUCUGAAAGAGAUUAAAGAUUUAUCGGUGAUGGAUGGGGAUGCGUCUGAUUAGCUUGUUGGCGGGGUAACGGCCCACCAAGGCAACGAUCAGUAGGGGUUCUGAGAGGAAGGUCCCCCACAUUGGAACUGAGACACGGUCCAAACUCCUACGGGAGGCAGCAGUGAGGAAUAUUGGUCAAUGGGCGUGAGCCUGAACCAGCCAAGUAGCGUGCAGGAAGACGGCCCUAUGGGUUGUAAACUGCUUUUAUAAGGGAAUAAAGUGAGUCUCGUGAGACUUUUUGCAUGUACCUUAUGAAUAAGGACCGGCUAAUUCCGUGCCAGCAGCCGCGGUAAUACGGAAGGUCCGGGCGUUAUCCGGAUUUAUUGGGUUUAAAGGGAGCGUAGGCCGGAGAUUAAGCGUGUUGUGAAAUGUAGAUGCUCAACAUCUGAACUGCAGCGCGAACUGGUUUCCUUGAGUACGCACAAAGUGGGCGGAAUUCGUGGUGUAGCGGUGAAAUGCUUAGAUAUCACGAAGAACUCCGAUUG
rnacentral:rRNA from 1 species